CGAGGUGACCGAAGAGAAACUGCUGUCCUCACUGCACAGACCCGGGUCUGAGGUUCGGCAGUGUCGCUUCCCCGUAUCACCCGCCGCGGGGGCCGGGCUGGGGACCACGGAGUUCGGGUCCCCGCCCGUGUCUCCCGGCCUCGGUCCGCCAGCAGGCUCUGAUGGCGGCGGCUGCGCCGUUGGACCGGGCGCAGGGAUCAGCGACCUUUGAGGAUGUGGCCAUGACCUUCCCUUGGAGGUCCUAGCUCAAAACAUUGAGCCAAAGGCCACUGUACCAGGAGGUGAUGUUGCAGACCUGGAUGCCCUUCUCUCACUGGAUCCCCUUUAGGUGACUGAGCAAAACCUGACACAACAGAGCCUACCACCCAGGAGCCUUGCUCCACGGACAACUGACUCCGGGAGCCUCAGGGGGCAUCCAGAGUGGGCUGAGGCAGGGAUCAGCAAGGAAGGGCCUUCAGAAAUGCAGGAAAGGUGCUUGAGUGCAUGGCCAGUCCUCCAGGAGACUCUCCCUGGAGGAAGAGCCUCGAAUGCCACAGUCUGCGGACAGGUGAUAGCACGCGCUCAAGAGAUUUAUGGCAAAAGUUCUCUCCGGGAGUUUCGGCCUCCGAACAGGGUUCAUCCCCACCAAGGGAUGACCCCAGGCUUCAUCCAGGGAAGAAUUCUUAAAAGUGCAAGGACUUCAGGGAAGGGGAUAAGAGGAAUUCCAUCCUCACGAUUGGGAGACUGACUCCAGAAAGACGACCUGACAGCACAACGAGCCCCACAGAGUUUCUCAACAGAGUGCACCGCAUUUGACCCUGUCCAUAGUAGGGAGAAGCCCAACGAGGGGAGUGAAUGUGGAGAGGCCUUCACCUGCCACUCUGCUUUCGUCCAGCGUAAAAGAAUGCACGCCAGAGAAGAACCCUUUGGGUAGAGGGAAUGCAGAAAAGCCUUUUGUCUCAGCUUUUCCUUAGCUUCUUACCCGAGGAGGACACUGAGAAGCCUCUGAAAGCAUUGAGUGGGGCUCAGCCUCUCUCCACGAGUCACACCCCGUGUGGCACGAGCACAUUCACACUGGGGAGAAGCCCUAUGGCUGCCAGGACAGCUCUCCCAGCCGGCACGACACUGUCCACACUGGGCAAAGCAGCAAGUGUGGAAAGGCCUUCGAGGCACAUGGCACCUCACGCAGCACCCGUGAGUCCACUACACCUGCAGAUGAACCCUGGGAGCACGAAGAAUGUAGCAAGGCCUUCACCCAACGCUUCAGUUUCCUCCUGCGCAACAACUCCAGGACUGAAAACCCUCUGAGGGCAGAGAAGGCAGGAGCGCCACGGGGACCCGCACUGCUGAGAAGCCCGAGGAGCACAUGGUAUUAGGAAGUGUUUGGCCUCGGCUUAGCCCUCACCGAGCCCCAGAGGGUUCGUGCUCGGGACAGUGAAGGGAAGAGACGCGGGAGGGCCUCGUGCUGGUGAGCCCUCCCUGCCUGACAUGACGUGACUCACACUAGGGGAAGGAUUUUGGAAUGUAACUACCACGGAAAGUCUUUGGGCCUGUGAAUCCUCUUGCUUGGCAUCGGAAGAUGCAUGCUGAAGGGCAGUCCCCUUAAACUGUCAUUGCCGUGAGACAACUUCUUGUGACAGAUCAUUGCUUACUUUUAAAGAGUUUUAUUAGGAAAGCACCCAGCCUGGAGCCUUUCUCCCUAUCUAUGAAUUCGUCCAGGAGAGAAACUUAGUGGUUGUUGUGAGCUGGGAAAAACCUUCAUAGUUUGAUCUCUAGGUUGCCCCGGAAAGCUCUCUUUAGAAUAUUAAACAACAAAGGAGAAAGAGAUGUUGAUUGACAAUAAAGAAGAAGAAAUGCAUACGUGACUUCUCCCUGACAUGGCCGCCGUGCCUUGGAUGAUUUAUCGUUGCUUAUUUUUUUGACAGGGCAUGCUAGGCAAACAGUGGCCACCGGUGUGUGUGUGUGUGUGUGUGUGUGUCUGUGUGUCUGUCUGUCUGUCUGUCUCUCUGUCUCUCUCUCUCUUAAUCCCUGGA